AGCAGCCGCGGUAAUUCCAGCUCCAAUAGCGUAUAUUAAAGUUGUUGCAGUUAAAAAGCUCGUAGUUGAAUUUCGGGAUCAAGGAAUCGGUCAUGCCUCGGUAUGUACUGGUUUUAUUGGUUCUCACCUUCUAAAGAACCAUGAUGUCAUUCAUUUGAUGUUAUGGGGAAUUAGGACUGUUACCUUGAAAAAAUUAGAGUGUUUAAAGCAGGCUUACGCUUGAAUACAUUAGCAUGGAAUAAUGAAAUAGGACAUCAGAUUCUAUUUUGUUGGUUUCUAGGAUCGAUGUAAUGAUUAAUAGGGAUAGUUGGGGGCAUUAGUAUUCAAUUGUCAGAGGUGAAAUUCUUGGAUUUAUUGAAGACUAACUACUGCGAAAGCAUUUGCCAAGGAUGUUUUCAUUAAUCAAGAACGAAAGUUAGGGGAUCGAAGACGAUCAGAUACCGUCGUAGUCUUAACCAUAAACUAUGCCGACUAGGAUCGGAUGAUGUUUAUUUUUAGUUGACUCU
rnacentral:rRNA from 1 species